AUAAAUAUUGAUUCAAACUCAUCUACUAUAAUCCGUUCCACAAUAUAAACCGUCUUGUAAUCUCUUAACUCAUCUCAUGUAAUAUUUA
rnacentral:sRNA from 1 species